CCCAAGAGAUCGGGAUAACACCUGCAAACAGAUGCUAAUACCGGAUAACAACAGAUGAUGCCUAUCAACUGUUUAAAAGAUGGUUCUGCUAUCACUCUUGGAUGGACCUGCGGUGCAUUAGCUAGUUGGUAGGGUAACGGCCUACCAAGGCGAUGAUGCAUAGCCGAGUUGAGAGACUGAUCGGCCACAUUGGGACUGAGACACGGCCCAAACUCCUACGGGAGGCAGCAGGC
rnacentral:rRNA from 1 species